AGAAUCAACGCUGGCGGCGUGCCUAACACAUGCAAGUCGCACGAGAAAGGGACUUCGGUCCUGAGUACAGUGGCGCACGGGUGAGUAACACGUGAAUCAUCUAACUUCGAGUGGGGAAUAACUGAGAGAAAUCUGGGCUAAUACCGCAUAACACUUACGAGUCAAAGCAGCAAUGCGCUUGGAGAGGAGUUCGCGGCAGAUUAGUUAGUUGGCGGGGUAAUGGCCCACCAAGACGAUGAUCUGUA
rnacentral:rRNA from 1 species